rnacentral:rRNA from 1 species
AUGGGAUGCUAUAAACUUCCAAGAGGACUAUGUCUCAUAUUAAUUCAGCAAUCAGGAACUUCUAGUGGGGUAGCAAAAUUGGCAGAAGGAGUUUUUUUGUCAUGGGAAGUGAUGAUGAGACCAAAACACUUAGGAGGGUUUGUCUUUAGGGACAUUGGACUUUUCAAUCUUUCUCUACUUGCUAGGCAGGCCUGGCGACUUCUGCAACAACCAGAGACAUUAAGUGAAAGAAUUUUGAAGGCUAGAUAUUAACUCAAUACUAACAUUCUCCAUGCUCAGCUUGGCAGGAACCCUUCUCAGAUCUAGAGGGCUAUCAUUGAUGGAAGAGAUGUACUUUCUCAAGGUUUAAUCAAGAGGGUGGGUGAUGGUGUUGACGUAUAA